AUCAGACACGGUGUCAGCAGCCGCGGUAAUACGGAGGAUCCGAGCGUUAUCCGGAUUUAUUGGGUUUAAAGGGAGCGUAGGCGGAUUGUUAAGUCAGUUGUGAAAGUUUGCGGCUCAACCGUAAAAUUGCAGUUGAUACUGGCAGUCUUGAGUGCAGUAGAGGUGGGCGGAAUUCGUGGUGUAGCGGUGAAAUGCUUAGAUAUCACGAAGAACUCCGAUUGCGAAGGCAGCUCACUGGAGUGUAACUGACGCUGAUGCUCGAAAGUGUGGGUAUCAAACAGGAUUAGAUACCCUGGUAGUCCACACAGUAAACGAUGAAUACUCGCUGUUUGCGAUAUACAGUAAGCGGACCAAGCGAAA
rnacentral:rRNA from 1 species